GGGGGGUGGCCAGAUCCUGGGCUGUUUCCCCAGUGCGCUGUGCUCCUGGGCCUGUACUAUUGGAUUCGUGCUCCCAGCCACGUAGCCCCCU
rnacentral:pre_miRNA from 1 species